rnacentral:rRNA from 1 species
AUGCUUGGUGGGUCUCUCCUCUUGGCGUCUUUCAUCGCCUGCGUGUUGCUGCUGCUCUUUUACGGCGGCUUCUCGAGCUAUUUCAGCACCGCGCUCUCCAUCGUCGCGCUCGUCGUGGGCCUUGUGCUCUUAGUGGCAUCAACCGCACUUUUCGCCCUUCACGAGAAUCUUUGCUUGCAACGGAGGCAUGGUAACCCAGAUGGACAAAGGCUCGUAGGAGAGUAG